rnacentral:rRNA from 1 species
GACGAAGGAUGCAAGCGUUAUCCGGAUUCAUUGGGUUUAAAGGGUGCGUAGGCGGACCAGUAAGUCAGUGGUGAAAUCUCUUUGCUUAACAAAGAAACUGCCAUUGAUACUGCUAGUCUAGAGUAUAGAUGACGGUUGGCGGAAUAUGACAUGUAAGUGGUGAAAUACUUAGAUAUGUCAUAGAACACCGAUUGCGAAGGCAGCUAACGAAACUAUAACUGACGCUGAGGCACGAAAGUGCGGGGAUCAAACAGG